rnacentral:tRNA from 2 species
UCCCUUGUAGCUCAGCGGUAGAGCAGCCGGCUGUUAACCGGCGGGUCGUAGGUUCGAAUCCUACCGGGGGAG